CUACGGGUUGCACCAGUGGGGAAUAUUGCACAAUGGGCGCAAGCCUGAUGCAGCCAUGCCGCGUGUAUGAAGAAGGCCUUCGGGUUGUAAAGUACUUUCAGCGGGGAGGAAGGGAGUAAAGUUAAUACCUUUGCUCAUUGACGUUACCCGCAGAAGAAGCACCGGCUAACUCCGUGCCAGCAGCCGCGGUAAUACGGAGGGUGAAAGCGUUAAUCGGAAUUACUGGGCGUAAAGCGCACGCAGGCGGUUUGUUAAGUCAGAUGUGAAAUCCCCGGGCUCAACCUGGGAACUGCAUCUGGUACUGGGAAGCUUGAGUCUCGUAGAGGGGGGUAGAAUUCCAGGUGUAGCGGUGAAAUGCGUAGAGAUCUGGAGGAAUACCGGUGGCGAAGGCGGCCCCCUGGACGAAGACUGACGCUCAGGUGCGAAAGCGUGGGGAGCAAACAGGAUUAGAUACCCUGGUAGUC
rnacentral:rRNA from 1 species